GAUACUUAGAAGAUAAAUAUAGGAAGUUCCACAUCUGACUAAGCUCCAAAAAGAAAGAAAAAAUAAUGAAAAUGGAAGAAAGGAAAUGAUAAAAAUGAAAUACAGUAAAAUAUCUUAGAAUUGAAGUAUAUUAAUAUCCAGAUGUAGAAGCCUUACCAAGUCGCCAGUGCCAAGAAUGGAAACGACCCACACGAGGACACUUCAUAGUGAAACUGCAGAGCACAGACAUAAAGUAAAUUUCAGAACACAGAUAUAAAUACCUUCUGAGUGUUAGAAAAAAAAGACACAUGUAAAGGACUAGGAAUCAGAAUAGUACCAGACAUCUCAAAGAAAGUCUAGGAACAAUGACAGAGUAGAAGAUGGUUUUCAAAAUUCUAAGGAAAAGCUCACUCUAUCUAUCUAUCUAUCUAUCUAUCUAUCUAUCUAUCUAUCUAUUCCUCCAUCCAUCCCUCUCUCUCUAUAUUAAUCCAUCCAUCAAUCCAUUUCAUUAUCUAUGUAUGUAUGUAUGUAUAUCUAUCUAUCUAUCUAUCAUCUAUCCAUCCAGCCACCCUCUGUCUGUCUGUCUGUCUGUCUAUUGGUCUAUCAUCUAUCAUCUAUCUAUCUUUAUGUAUCUUACUGAGAACUUGAUACUUAACAAUGAAAAGAACAGAUGAAGACCUCCUCAUGGAACCUUUGUUAAGCGAUUAAUGGAGGGUGUGUUCCAGCAAAAUACGGGAAUAAAUCAAGUAAGAGGAAAGCAUAAGCUUUGCACAGUGGGAGUAUGGUAGCCAGUGAGGUUUAUUCCAGGUGCAAUUAUUGCUAAUUGAUAACGUUUCCCAAUAUCCCACCAUGACAACUUGAAACAUAGUCGGUAUUGGCAAUUUUUGACAGUCUCUAGUGACCAAGAUUUAAAAAAAGACAAAGAAAGAGGCAAACAUAGAAUCUAGGGAAGCAUGUCUCUAACAAAGGAGAGUAGCAAAAGAAGUGCCUGGCUGAAAACCAUUCAGAGGGCCUAGAGAGCAACCAUCCUUGUUCAGAGCAGGAGAAUGAAGGCCCCCAUGAUGCAGAGCUCCAUCCAGAAAAAAAGUAGACCCAAUGGAAUAGAUGAAAUUGUCGGUGGUAACUUAGAGAUGAAGGAAAGUAUUAACAACAUUUAAAUGAAAAUU
rnacentral:lncRNA from 1 species